CCAGUGGAGAUGCCGGGACCACGAGAUGGCUGCUAAUGGAAGCUUCCCACCACAAUGAGGUUUCCCAGGACUCCUCUCUUGGUUGGGUGAUUUCUACAAGCAAUGUGAUCCUGACUGCAAUAAGCAACAUUGAAAAAAUUCACCUGUUUCCCAGCCUGAUGUCACAGGAAACAUCACAGAAACCGAAACACCCAGCACAGAGCUAUUUCUGAGCAAGAUUCCACGAAGAGAAACUGAUUAGGACACACAAAGAUCUAUCAAAAUGCAAACUUUCAGAGGGAUAACCCAAGGCUGCUCGAGAACAUCUGGAGGAGAGGAUGUCAACGCAGCCCUGCUCAGGAAGAGCCAUGCUGCAAGAGAAGGAAGCUCGUCUGCCCCCAACGCUCUCCACACCUUCAGAAGAAGAAGCAGGAAAAGACCAUUUCCCUGAAGGAAGCCCCCAAGAAACAGGCACCCCAAGGCCAGGGCACCUUCCUUCCAGCUGGUGUCACUGGAUGCCCCCUAGCACUAUGCCCUCCUGAGGAGCACAGCGUCCCAUGUGGAG